rnacentral:lncRNA from 1 species
AGGCUGGUGUUUCUGACUAUAGAAGCUUGGAGAUGAAAUGAAUUUGAUUUGGAUUCAGUUAUGUAAUAUUGAAAAAAAAAAAAGAAAAAAAAAAGAAAAAGAAAAAAAACCUUAAAUAGAUGAAUGUGAGGAGAAUCCUGAAAGAGAGUGGUAAGAAAUCUUUCUAUAUUCUUCUUGUUUUGUGCAAGACAGACUAUAGACCCUGUUUGAUUCUCAUUUUUUGACCACAAAAAUGAAAAAUAUGAUCAUUAUUCAUCACAUUAAGUCACCAUAUUUGACUUUCUAUCUAUUGUGUGGGUCUCGUAACGACUAUUUUUUCAUUCUCAUUCUUACCAAAAUAGGAAUCAAACGGGCUCUAUUCUUAAUGCAUAUACGUUUAAGUUCAAAUGCAUUAGUCCAUGUUUGAUGUAAAUUAAAAGUUAGAUAAAAAUUUG